rnacentral:rRNA from 1 species
UACAGAGGUGGCAAGCGUUGUUCGGAAUUACUGGGCGUAAAGGGCGCGUAGGCGGCCUUCUAAGUCAGACGUGAAAUCCCCAGGCUUAACUUGGGAACUGCGUCUGAUACUGGAGGGCUCGAGUGCGGGAGAGGGAUGUGGAAUUCCAGGUGUAGCGGUGAAAUGCGUAGAUAUCUGGAGGAACACCGGUGGCGAAGGCGGCAUCCGGGACCGACACUGACGCUGAGGCGCGAAAGCUAGGGGAGCAAACGGG